UACGGGGGGGGCAAGCGUUGUUCGGAAUUACUGGGCGUAAAGGGUGCGUAGGCGGUUUGCUAUGUCGGAUGUGAAAACUCUGGGCUCAACCCAGAGCCUGCAUCCGAAACUGGCGAGCUAGAGUUCUGGAGGGGGUAGCGGAAUUCCUGGUGUAGCGGUGAAAUGCGUAGAUAUCAGGAGGAACACCGGUGGCGAAGGCGGCUACCUGGACAGAAACUGACGCUGAGGCACGAAAGCUAGGGGAGCAAACAGG
rnacentral:rRNA from 1 species